GCUGCCAUUUGUCGCUGUAGCCAGCCUCUCUCUGGAUUUUACACUCGCUGUGUAGAUGAUGAGCUCUUGUUGGAGGCCAUUAGCCAAACAAACCCAGGGAGCCAGUUUAUGUAUGUUGUAGACACAAGACCAAAGGCAGUGAAGGUAGAAAAGGCCAGUGUCUUAGUCCAUUGUUCUGAUGGGUGGGACCGCACAGCACAAGUCUGCUCGGUGGCUAGCAUCCUCCUAGAUCCAUUUUAUAGGACAUUCAAAGGACUCAUGAUCUUGAUAGAGAAGGAAUGGAUAUCCAUGGGCCACAAGUUUUCCCAAAGGUGUGGCCACCUCGAUGGGGACUCUAAAGAAGUGUCCCCUAUCUUCACCCAGUUCCUAGACUGUAUCUGGCAAUUAAUGGAACAGUUUCCCUGUGCCUUUGAGUUUAAUGAAAACUUCCUGCUAGAGAUUCAUGACCAUGUUUUCUCCUGCCAGUUUGGAAACUUCCUUGGUAACUGCCAGAAGGAUCGAGAAGAUCUAAGGUGAAUUUACUUUGCGAGAAGACAUUGAACAGGGAGAAGGGGGUCAGUACAAAAAGAAUGUACCUACCACCCUGAAUUUGGCAUAGCAGUCAAGAAAGGGGCGGAGAUAACAAUAAUAAAAAGAACUUUUGAAGC
rnacentral:sRNA from 1 species